UACGGAGGGGGCUAGCGUUGUUCGGAAUUACUGGGCGUAAAGCGCGCGUAGGCGGCUUUGUAAGUCAGAGGUGAAAGCCUGGAGCUCAACUCCAGAACUGCCUUUGAGACUGCAUCGCUAGAAUCAUGGAGAGGUUAGUGGAAUUCCGAGUGUAGAGGUGAAAUUCGUAGAUAUUAGGAGGAACACCAGUUGCGAAGGCGGCUCUCUGGACUGUAACUGACGCUGAGGAGCGAAAGCAUGGGGAGCGAACAGG
rnacentral:rRNA from 1 species